rnacentral:rRNA from 1 species
UACGUAGGAUGCGAGCGUUAUCCGGAUUUAUUGGGUUUAAAGGGUGCGCAGGCGGCACGGCAAGCCGGCGGUCAAAUCGCGGGGCUCAACCCCGCCCAGCCGUCGGAACUGCCGGGCUAGAGUGGGCGAGAAGUGCGCGGAAUGCGUGGUGUAGCGGUGAAAUGCAUAGAUAUCACGCAGAACUCCGAUUGCGAAGGCAGCACACCGGCGCCCUACUGACGCUCAGGCACGAAAGCGUGGGUAUCGAACAGG